rnacentral:misc_RNA from 1 species
ACAUUCUGUGUGAAAUCAACUGUGAUGUCUCUUGCACAAGCGAAAAAUAGUUCCUCUGGCAUGGAGCUUAUUAGAGAGAUGCCAACAUACGGAACGUCCACCAAUAUUCUCUCCUUGCAGUCAGCAGAAUUGUCGUGCUUCACUAUCUGGUUUUUAUCUUUAGACUCAUAGAUGUGCGGACCGUUCAAACCACUCAAUACAUGGUAACUUGAAUCAAUGAUGCUCAAAAUCUUGACUGCCCCUUCAGAGUGGACAGACACAAUCAGAGUUCUUUGAGGCUUCUCAGGAGUGGCAGGUAGGUGAAUGGGUGCAUAGUCUUUAACAUCA